GCUAGGCGCAGUGGCGCACGCCUGUAAUCCUAGAAGCUCAGGAGGCAGAGGCAGGAGGAUCGCAAGUUCAAAGCCAGUCUUAGCAAUUUAUCAGGGUGCUAAGCAACUCAGUGAGAACCUGUCAGUGAGAAUCUGUCUCUA
rnacentral:sRNA from 1 species